rnacentral:rRNA from 1 species
UGGGGAAUCAUGGUCAAUGGGCGAAAGCCUGAACCUGCGACGCCGCGUGAGUGACGAAGGCCUUAGGGUUGUAAAGCUCUUUUGGCGGGGACGAUAAUGACGGUACCCGCAGAAUAAGCCCCGGCUAACUUCGUGCCAGCAGCCGCGGUAAUACGAAGGGGGCUAGCGUUGUUCGGAAUCACUGGGCGUAAAGCGCACGUAGGCGGACUUUCAAGUCAGGGGUGAAAUCCCGGGGCUCAACCUCGGAACUGCCUUCGAUACUGGCGAUCUCGAGUCCGGGAGAGGUGAGUGGAAUUCCGAGUGUAGAGGUGAAAUUCGUAGAUAUUCGGAGGAACACCAGUGGCGAAGGCGCCCAUCUGGACGGUAACUGACGCUGAGACGCGAAAGCGCGGGGAGCAAACA